UACCCUAUUAUUAAAAAUGUAAAUAUUUAAAUGCCAGAGUAGUAGUAGUUAUGUUCUUGAAAUUUAAAGAAUUUGGCGGUAUUUUAGUCCAUUUAGAGGAACCUGUCCUGUAAUUGAUAGUCCACGUUUAAUUGUACUUAUUUUAAAGGUUUGUAUACCGUCGUAGUUGGAAUGUUUUAGAAGAAUAUAAAUAUUCAAGAUUUAGAAUUGUAAAAAAAAUCAGAUCAAGGUACAGCGUAUAAGUAAGGAGAGAUGGGUUACAAUAAAUUUAUUUAGAUGGUUAUAGUAAUUAACAUUAUUAUAUAAAGUGGAUUUAAUUGUAAUAUAAUUUAUUUAAAUUAUAUGAUUUAGGCUCUAAAAUAUGCACAUAUCGCCCGUCGCUCCCAUUUUAAGGUGGGAUAAGUC
rnacentral:rRNA from 1 species